ensembl:lncRNA
GGGGAGGUGGAGGCGGAGGCGUCUCCAGCGGGAGCGGGAGGGCCUGAAGGACCUGUACGCCAGCUUCAGACACGGACACGCACAACCAAACGUCAUCAGCACAAUGAGAGUGACGGGGCAACACACAGGCAAGCGAGACUAAGUGAGUCUGAGCAUUCAUGACGUGCAGCAUGCCGUUGAUUAUAUAAAAUGGUUUAGUGCUACAAGGUGACUGUUAAGAGGUGUGCUACAAGGUGACUGUUAAGAGGUGUGCUACAAGGUGACUGUUAAGAGGUGUGCUACAAGGUGACUGUUAAGAGGUGUGCUACAAGGUGACCGUUAAGAGGUGUGCUACAAGGCGACUGUUAAGAGGUGUGCUACAAGGCGACUGUUAAGAGGUGUGCUACAAGGUGACUGUUAAGAGGUGUGCUACAAGGUGACUGUUAAGAGGUGUGCUACAAGGUGACUGUUAAGAGGUGUGCUACAAGGUGACUGUUAAGAGGUGUGCUACAAGGUGACUGUUAAGAGGUGUGCUACAAGGCGACCGUUAAGAGGUGUGCUACAUGGGGAGUUUAAUCAAAUCCACAUUACCACCACGUGAGUGAGGACGGCACGUCUACCACCAACAAAGACGGCUACAUCACCUGAUAAACCUACCUUUGUCCUUCAAGCAUCAGCUUUAGCGACCGGCAAAUGAAAAAGUUGCAGUUAAUGCAAACAUACUGACUCCAGAAUAGAUAUCCAAGGCAAACGUUACAGUGCGACGCGUCCGGUGUGGUGCCAGUUACCCAUUUCUCCGUCAGUGACCAAAUGGACCAGCUCCUCGUCCGUCACCUCUGUGGUGGGGGGCGGCGGAACCGAGGGGCGCUGGUCUCUG